GUACAUAUCUGCAGAAGAGAAAGAAACCUUAUUAGGGUUCUAGGAAGAAAAGCCAAGAAGAAAACAAACAAGGCUCAAGAAUUCACUGCCAGUACACCUCUCCAGAAUUCUAACGCAGGGAGGUGGCUCGUAUCAUAUCUUUUCAUCAGGCUGGACUAGGAGAUGCCAUUUCUUCCCCUAGAGCCAGAGUCUUCGCAUCCUGACAGCCUCAGUUUGGCCGAGCGUAAAAGGACUGCAGGUACACAAAGAACUCGUCAAGCAUUACAGAAAGUACAGUCCUAUCACCGCACCACGUACGGCAUUCGUGACUGGACAGCUUGCAAAAGAGUCAUAGGACUCAUCUGCACCAAGAACUUGAAAUUAUUCAAAGGCUGAGGAGCGAGGAGAUCGAAUUUCAAAGGUCCUUAAAUGUGGGCAGGGUGAGGGCGCCGGAGGCCUGGGCAACAACGGGAGCGAUGCUGAUUUCGCAAAGAAAGAAGGAACCUUCCUAGCCCUAGCUGAAGCACGGAGGUAAGCCCAUCCCAGACCUUCAAGGGUAAUUAUUGCCACACUGACUGGUGCAAGUCUAAUGGUAUGACGUGUCUCAGACCUGAGGAUGGGUAGCCAUGAAGGCAGAAUAGACUUGACUAGGAGUUGACUCCUUGCAGCUCACCCUGGACCAUGUCACUGGGUGGAAGAGGAGGACUGUGAUAACAGUGGCUGGGAGCCAGCUUGUAGCCACUUGCCUGCCCCGCCCAGCCUAGUGGCAGCCCAGAACCAAGGAGCAGCACCUGGCUACAGACCUCAGACACUGCAAGGAUGAGUGUAGGGGUGAGCACCUCAGUCCCCCUCCUCCCAACCUCGGACACAAGUGUGACCACCUCUACCUUCUCCUUCGUGGACUAUGUGGUAUUCGUUUUGCUGCUGCUUCUCUCCCUGGCCAUUGGUCUCUACCAUGCUUGUCGUGGCUGGGGCCGCCAUACUGUUGGACAGCUGCUGAUGGCAGAUCGCAAAAUGGGCUGCUUUCCUGUGGCGCUGUCCCUGCUAGCCACCUUCCAGUCAGCUGUAGCCAUCCUGGGUGUGCCGUCUGAGAUCUAUCGAUUUGGGACCCAGUACUGGUUCCUGGGUUGCUCCUACUUCUUGGGGCUGCUGAUACCUGCUCACAUCUUCAUCCCCAUCUUCUACCGCCUGCAUCUCACCAGUGCCUAUGAGUACCUGGAGCUCCGAUUCAAUAAAGCAGUGCGGGUUUGUGGAACUGUGACCUUCAUUUUUCAGAUGGUGAUCUACAUGGGGGUCGUGCUCUAUGCUCCAUCUUUGGCCCUCAAUGCAGUGACUGGCUUUGAUCUUUGGCUGUCUGUGCUGACCCUGGGGAUUGUCUGCAACAUCUAUACUGCAUUGGGUGGACUGAAGGCUGUCAUCUGGACAGAUGUGUUCCAGACACUGGUCAUGUUCCUAGGGCAGCUGGCUGUCAUCAUCGUGGGGUCGGUCAAAGUGGGAGGUUUGGGGCAUGUGUGGGAUGUGGCUUCCCAACACGGCCUCAUCUCUGGGAUUGAGCUGGAUCCAGACCCAUUUGUGCGGCACACCUUCUGGACCUUGGCCUUUGGGGGAGUCUUCAUGAUGCUCUCCUUAUAUGGUGUAAACCAGGCUCAGGUGCAGCGCUACCUCAGUUCCCGCACAGAGAAGGCUGCUGUGCUCUCCUGCUACGCAGUGUUCCCCUGCCAGCAGCUGGUCCUCUGCAUGAGCUGCCUCAUCGGCCUGGUUAUGUUCGCCUAUUACCAGGAGUAUCCCAUGAGCACCCAGCAGUCUCAGGCAGCUCCUGACCAAUUCGUCCUCUACUUUGUGAUAGACGUCCUAAAAGGUCUGCCGGGCCUGCCUGGGCUCUUUGUUGCCUGCCUCUUCAGUGGCUCCCUCAGCACCAUAUCCUCUGCUUUUAAUUCAUUGGCAACUGUUACGAUGGAAGACCUGAUUCAACCCUGGUUCCCUGAGUUUUGUGAAGCCCGGGCCAUCGUACUUUCCAGAAGUCUUGCCUUUGGCUAUGGAAUCCUUUGUCUUGGAAUGGCCUAUAUUUCCUCCCAGUUGGGAUCCGUGCUGCAGGCAGCAAUCAGCAUCUUUGGCAUGGUUGGGGGUCCACUGCUUGGACUUUUCUGCCUUGGGAUGUUCUUUCCUUUUGCCAACCCUCCUGGUGCCAUUGUGGGCCUGUUGGCUGGACUCAUCAUGGCCUUCUGGAUCGGAAUUGGGAGCAUAGUGACCAGCAUGAACUCUAGCACUGCGUCUUCUCCACUAAAUGGGUCCAUCUUCAGCCUGCCCACCAAUCUGACCACCACUACUGUGACCACCCUGAUGCCCUCAACCACCCUCUCCAAGCCCACAGGGCUGCAGCGAUUCUAUUCUCUGUCUUAUUUAUGGUACAGCGCUCACAACUCCACCACAGUCAUUGUGGUUGGCCUAACUGUCAGUCUGCUCACCGGGGGCAUGCGGGGCCGGCCCCUGAACCCUCGGACCAUUUACCCUGUGCUGCCAAGACUUCUGUCCCUCCUGCCCUUGUCCUGCCAGAAGCGGCUUUGUUGCAGAAGCCACAGCCAGGAUGUCCCCAUGGACAAUGACCUGUUUCCGGAGAAGAAGAUGAAUGGGGUGCUGUGGGACAGCAGAGACAAGGAGGAGCUGGCUCGGGAUGGCUCAGCCCACCAGGGGAGCAGCCCCACUUUUGUUCUCCAAGAGACCUCCCUGUGAUGGGGACUCACAGGCCACCAGCCUCUGUCCUCACUGCCAGUCAGCAGCCAGAGGACACUGUAGUACAGAGAUGGGUCUGGGUGACCUUGUCCACACCAAAGUAUCUUGUUCUUAAAGGAUCUCACCUGCCAUGGAAAUUGUCCCAUCCCAGUGUCCUGGCUGAGCUGUCUCUGGAGCAAGGUCUUCUCAUGCUGAGCCACAAGCUAUGUGAAAAUAUGUAUGCAAAGCAGAAAUGGGAGAUUUCUAACUCAAGCCACAGGAAAGAGCAAAGGUCGCAUGUACCAAGAACUCGUGAGUAAGAUUAUCUGUGGAUUCUUGAGACCUGACCUCUGAAGCCCUCAUUUCUUGGCCAGGCCAGGAGUUAUAAGUCAAGAGCAGGACACAUUCCCCCACGCCCCAAUUCCAGGGCUUAGUAUAAAGAAAAAUGCAUUGUUGGCCAUGUUUUCAAGAAAUGGGGCUGGGAAGCAACACCACUGUCAGUCUCUUGAAGUCAGAACCCUGAGCCGUCUCUUGCCUCAUCUCAAUCCCCAAGCACUUCUGCCCACUCCCUCCAAACCCAAAUGUUCUAAGGAUUGUUCAUUUUUUCAGCAGGGCAGUUCUAGAAAACACCAGAUGGACUCAGACCCCUAGGUCUGCCCUCCUCUCCAGUAACCCCUCCCACUGGGGGCUGAGGGUGCUGCUCCCUGACUCACCACCCCUCCCCACCAAUCUGCCAGUAUUCUAGACCUAACUGAUCCUCCUUUUUCACUUUUCAAUAUAUUCAUCAGUCAUUUUCUACAAGCAAGGGAACAUGGUAGCCAUUUUACAUCCAAGGACACUGCUACAUCACUCAAGGACCCCAAACCAGAUGCUGCUAUUGGCAUCUCAGAGUUGCCCCAUUUAACCUCAAAGUCUUGCAUUUGGCUAUGUUUGCACAGAAGAGGAAAUAGCCCCCCAAACUUCCAAGAACUAUAAUUUUGGGGAUGAAAAGGCAAAAGAUCCAGUUCUCCAUACAAAUAAUUCAAAACCUUCAACAGAGAACAAAUAUGCUCCUUUCCUUCUAAUACAAUAAACUUCUUUUCUUCACAAAGCAUUUUACAAGUGCCAGUUAAUACUUUUGAGGGUGGAGUGUAACAGACCUGGGAUCAAAUACUGGUUUAGCCAGGUGUGGUGUUACAGGCCUAUAAUCCCAGCCACUCAGGAGGCUGAGGCAGGAGGAUUGAAAGUUUGAGACCAGCCUGGACAACUUAGUGAGACCCUGUCUCAAAAUAUAAAGGACUUUGGGGUAUAACUCAGUGGUAGAGUGUUUUGCUUAGCCAUGUGCAAGGUCAUGCUAGUACUGCAUUAAAAAAAAAAAGUU